GCCGGGCGUGGUGGUGGGUGCCUGUAAUCCCAGCUACUCAGGAGGAUAAGGCAAGAGAAUUGCUGGAACCGGGGAGGUGAAGGUUGCAGUGAGUUGAGAUGGCCUGGGCAACAGAGUGAGACUGUCUCAAAAUAAAUAAAUACAUAAAUUUGGAGGAUGAGAANNNNNNNNNNUUCUCAUCCUCCAAAUUUAUGUAUUUAUUUAUUUUGAGACAGUCUCACUCUGUUGCCCAGGCCAUCUCAACUCACUGCAACCUUCACCUCCCCGGUUCCAGCAAUUCUCUUGCCUUAU
rfam:Chlorocebus sabaeus isolate 1994-021 chromosome 6, whole genome shotgun sequence.